GUGCUCGCUCCAGCAGCGCACACACACUGACAGGGGAACAGUACAGAGAAGACUAGCAAGGCCCCUGCACAAGGAUGACGUGUAGAUUUGUGAAGUGUUCCGUGUUUUU